CCUUGGGUGACGAGUGGCGGACGGGUGAGUAAUGUCUGGGGAUCUGCCCGAUAGAGGGGGAUAACCACUGGAAACGGUGGCUAAUACCGCAUAACGUCGCAGGACCAAAGAGGGGGACCUUCGGGCCUCUCACUAUCGGAUGAACCCAGAUGGGAUUAGCUAGUAGGCGGGGUAAUGGCCCACCUAGGCGACGAUCCCUAGCUGGUCUGAGAGGAUGACCAGCCACACUGGAACUGAGACACGGUCCAGACUCCUACGGGAGGCAGCAGUGGGGAAUAUUGCACAAUGGGCGCAAGCCUGAUGCAGCCAUGCCGCGUGUAUGAAGAAGGCCUUCGGGUUGUAAAGUACUUUCAGCGGGGAGGAAGGCGAUGCGGUUAAUAACCGCGUCGAUUGACGUUACCCGCAGAAGAAGCACCGGCUAACUCCGUGCCAGCAGCCGCGGUAAUACGGAGGGUGCAAGCGUUAAUCGGAAUUACUGGGCGUAAAGCGCACGCAGGCGGUCUGUUAAGUCAGAUGUGAAAUCCCCGGGCUUAACCUGGGAACUGCAUUUGAAACUGGCAGGCUUGAGUCUUGUAGAGGGGGGUAGAAUUCCAG
rnacentral:rRNA from 1 species